rnacentral:tRNA from 1 species
GGCACGGUAGCUCAGUUGGUAGAGCAGAGGACUGAAAAUCCUUGUGUCCCCGGUUCGAUUCCGGGCUGUGCCACCA